CAUUAAAAAGUUGUCGUGCAAUUCGAUAUAAUUUGAUCAUAAAUAAUUAUUUUUGGUUUUAUAUAAAAUAUUAAUUUUUUUAGUAUUUUGAAUAAAUUUUUAUUAUUAUAAAGUAUAAGUACUGUGAAGGAAUUUUGAAAUAUUUGAAAAUAAUUGAUUUAUAAAGAAGAAUUAGUUUUUCGUACCUUGUGUAUCAGGGUUAAUUAAUUUUUAAGUAAAAAUUUACUUGUCCCGAAUUAAGUGGAGUUAAGAAUUUAUUUAUUUUAAUGUUGAAUAAUUAUUUUGAAUAGAUUCUUUGAAAUGAAAUGUUAGUCGUCUCUUAAUAUAUCUGGUUUUUUUAGAAAAAAGUUUAAUUUUAUUAUUUUUUUUCUGUAUUAUUAUUUAAAUUUUCCAGGCAAAAAUAAGUUAUAUAUUGAGGGAUUAGCUUCAAUUUAUAUUAUUAUAAAAUUUGUAAUUUUUAUGGUUUGUAGGAUUAGAAAUUUUUAUCAUAAAGUUUGUUAUAAUUUAUCAUAAAUUUAUUAUUAUUUUUAUUUUUUUAAUUUUUCUAUAAAAAUAUUUCUUAAAAUUUUUAAGGAAAGUAAUAAUGAUUGAAUUAGUAAAUUUUUAUUUAUAUUUAAUUAUAGAGGUUGUAGUUAAAAUAAAGGAACUCGGCAAAUAUAGUUUCUGCCUGUUUAUUAAAAACAUGUCCUUUUGAUUAUAAUUUAAGGUCUGGUCUGCCCAAUGAUUGAUAUUUAAUGGCCGCGAUAUUUUGAUCGUGCGAAGGUAGCAUAAUCAUUAGCUUUUUAAUUGUAAGCUGGUAUGAAGGAUUGGACAAGAUACUAUCUGUCUCUAUUUUAAUAUUUGAAUUUUAUUUUUGAGUUAGAAAGCUUAAAUUUAAUUGUAAGACGAGAAGACCCUAUAGAGUUUAAUAUUUUACAUCUUUGAAUUAAUUAUGGGAUUAAAUUUUCAGAGUUUAUAAGUAUUUAGUUGGGGUGACGGAAAAAUUUAAUAAACUUUUUCUUUUUAGUAUAUUAAUUUAUAGAUUAUUGACUUAAAUGAUUAGUUAUAAGAAUAAAUUACCUUAGGGAUAACAGCGUAAUUCUUUUUAAGAGUUCAUAUCGAAAGAAGAGAUUGCGACCUCGAUGUUGGAUUAAAGUUAAAAAUUGGUGUAGAAGCUGAAUAUUUUAGUCUGUUCGACUAUUAAAACUUUACAUGAUCUGAGUUUAAACCGGCGUGAGCCAGGUUGGUUUCUAUCUUUAACAUUUUAAUAUAUUUUAGUACGAAAGGACCAAAUAUUGUUUAAAUUAAUUUGUUUUUGAUUUAUAUUGUUAUUUUGGCAGAUUAGUGCAAUAGAUUUAGAAUCUUUUUAAGUAAAAUUUUAUUUAC